ACCCGCUGAACUUAAGCAUAUCAAUAAGCGGAGGAAAAGAAACCAACAGGGAUUGCCCUAGUAACGGCGAGUGAAGCGGCAACAGCUCAAAUUUGAAAUCUGGCUCUUUUAGAGUCCGAGUUGUAAUUUGCAGAGGGCGCUUUGGCUUUGGCAGCGGUCCAAGUUCCUUGGAACAGGACGUCACAGAGGGUGAGAAUCCCGUACGUGGUCGCUGGCUAUUGCCGUGUAAAGCCCCUUCGACGAGUCGAGUUGUUUGGGAAUGCAGCUCUAAAUGGGAGGUACAUUUCUUCUAAAGCUAAAUAUUGGCCAGAGACCGAUAGCGCACAAGUAGAGUGAUCGAAAGAUGAAAAGCACUUUGGAAAGAGAGUCAAACAGCACGUGAAAUUGUUGAAAGGGAAGCGCUUGCAGCCAGACUUGCUUACAGUUGCUCAUCCGGGCUUUUGCCCGGUGCACUCUUCUGUAGGCAGGCCAGCAUCAGUUUGGGCGGUAGGAUAAAGGUCUCUGUCACGUACCUCUCUUCGGGGAGGCCUUAUAGGGGAGACGACAUGCAACCAGCCUGGACUGAGGUCCGCGCAUCUGCUAGGAUGCUGGCGUAAUGGCUGU
rnacentral:rRNA from 1 species